GGAACGAAUGAACAACUAAUCACGAUGGAUAUCUUGGCUCUUGAAACGAUGAAGAACGCAGCGAAAUGCGAUAGGUAAUGCGAAUUGCAGAACUCUGUGAGUCAUCAAAUCUUUGAACGCACAUUGCACUUCCUUUGGGAGUAUACUUGUUUGAGUAUUGGUAAUCGGUUCUAACGAUGGUUGAAGAUUGGCUGUGUGGAACAGCUGAAAGGGAAGAGUGGAAUGAAUUGGGUGGGUGCCAANUUNNUCUCUGANNNGAGUNGGCGNCNUNNGGNAGACGCAANNNCUAAUCUCAAAUCAAGUAAGAAGACCUGCUGAAUUGAAGCAUCUAACUAAGCAGAGGAAAAGAAAAUAACAAUGAUUCCCUUAGUAACGGCGAGUGAAGUGGGAGAAGCCCAAGCCAAAAUCACUGUAAAGUGAGUUGUAGUGUGAAGACUGGUGUGAAGGUGAAGAAGCAUCGAAUUUGAUUGGAAAGUCAAGUCAUAGAAGGUGAAAACCCUGUAAGAUGCNUNNCUUCANCNNNANAAUACCAGUUCGUGGAGUCGAGUUGUUUGGGAUUGCAACUCGAAGUUGGUGGUAAACAUCAUCAAAGGCUAAAUAGUGUCAAGAGACCGAUAGCGAACAAGUACCGUGAGGGAAAGAUGAAAAGAACUUUGAAAAAAGAGUGAAAUAGUACUUGAAAUCGUGGUUAGGUUAAGCGCAGAGGCUGAGUGGUAUUGUAGAACUUGUGUCCUUUACAGUUGUGAAGGGUUUAAGUUGUAUGAUAGGUGUAUGNGGUGUUUNNNUNCNCNAANCUANNGGGNGAGUGAGCACCCCACACACAAAAUCAACCUCUUCGUCCCGUCUUGAAACACGGACCAAGGAGUCUAUCAUGGAUGCGAGUACGUUGGUGCCAAACCAAAGUGCGUAAUGAAAGUAAAUCGUGUGAUCAUUGAAAGAUGCGCAACAUGUGCCGAUCUGGAUUCUGUGAAGAAAGAUUCGAGUAAUAGCAUUUAUGGUGGGACCCGAAAGAUGGUGAACUAUGCCUGAAUAGGACGAAGCCAGGGGAAACUCUGGUGGAGGUUCGAGUGGAUUCUAACGUGCAAAUUGAUCUUUAAAUUUGGGUAUAGGGGCGAAAGACUAAUCGAACCAUCUAGUAGCUGGUUCCUUCCGAAAUUUCCCUCAGGAUAGCUGCAACUUAUGAAAUAGUUUUAUGAGGUAAAGCGAAUGAUUAGAGGCUUCGGGAAUGUACUAUUCUUGACCUAUUCUCAAACUUUAAAUGGGUAAGAAGCAGUUGAUGUUUAGUUAAUCAGCUGUGAUGAAUAUGAGUUGCAAGUGGGCCAUUCCGGGUAAGCUGGACUGGCGAUGCGGGAUCAACCGAACGCUAUGGUACGGCGCCUGAUUAUUCGCUCAGUAGGACGUAAAAGGUGUUAGUUCAUCUAGACAGCAGGACGGUGGCCAUGGAAGUCGGAAUCCGCUAAGGAGUGUGUAACAACUCACCUGCCGAAUGAAGUAGCCCUGAAAAUGGAUGGCGCUCAAGCGAAUAGCCUAACCAUAGCCAUUCGAUUUAGUUUUAUAGUCGAAUGAGUAGGAAGGCGUGAUGGAGGUAGAGAAGACUAGCGUGUGAACGCAGUUGGAACGUCCAUUAGUGCAGAUCUUGGUGGAAGUAGCAAAUAUUCAAAUGAGAUCUUUGAAGACUGAAGUGGAGAAAGGUUCCAUAGGAAUCGUGAUGAUCUAUGGGUUAGUCGAUCCUAAGAGAUAGGUGAAAUCCAUUGAAAGGAUGACGUUCGUCAUCGUCUAUCGAAAGGGAAUCAGGUUAAUAUUCCUGAACCAAUAGAAGUGUGUCGGUAACGGUAUUGGGAUUGAAGACAUUGAUGGUACUCCUGGGAAGAGUUGUCUUUUCUUGUUAACAAAUGGCAGUCCUUGGAAUAAAUUCAGUUUGCGAGAAGGAUUGUGGUUUGGUAAAGGUUCCUGCUUGUUGGGAGCUCUGGUGCAGUAUCAGCAGUCCUUGAAAAUUCAAUCUCAGCGUAACUUCUAUUGUUCGUACUCAUAACCGCAUCAGGUCUCCAAGGUGAAUAGCCUCUAGUUCAUAGAAUAAUGUAGGUAAGGGAAGUCGGCAAAUUAGAUCCGUAACUUCGGGAAAAGGAUUGGCUCUGAGGGCUAAGCAGAAUGAGUAUUGGUUAGGAAACGGCUUGUGGUGCAUGGGUUUGUUGUGCUUUCGGGUGUGAUGAAUGUGUGUACUAUGAAAAGGGCCCUACUAGUAUUAACGCUGCAAUGAAUAGCUAACUCAGAACUGGUACGGACAAGGGGAAUCCGACUGUUUAAUUAAAACAAAGCAUUGUGAUGGUGUGAAAGAUAUGUUGACACAAUGUGAAUUCUGCCCAGUGCUCUGAAUGUCAAAGUGAAGGAAUUCAACCAAGCGCGGGUAAACGGCGGGAGUAACUAUGACUCUCUUAAGGUAGCCAAAUGCCUCGUCAUCUAAUUAGUGACGCGCAUGAAUGGAUUAAUGAGAUUCCCACUG
rnacentral:rRNA from 1 species